rnacentral:rRNA from 1 species
UGAGUAACGCGUGAGUAACCUGCCUUCAANAGGGGGAUAACAUUCUGAAAAGAAUGCUAAUACCGCAUGACAUAUCGGAAUCACAUGGUUCUGAUAUCAAAGAUUUUAUCGCUUGAAGAUGGACUCGUGUCCGAUUAGUUAGUUGGUGAGGUAACGGCUCACCAAGACCGCGAUCGGUAGCCGGACUGAGAGGUUGAACGGCCACAUUGGGACUGAGAGACGGCCCAAACUCCUACGGGAGGCAGCAUG